GGAUAGAGACAAUGUGGCUCCUCAGUAUCUGUGUAUUGUUGGGAUCAAUUCUGACAGAUCUGAGUCAAGCGGAUUCUGUCACUCAGUCACUUGCCUCAGAUACUGUGACAGAAGGAGAAGCGGUGAAACUUAACUGUACCUAUGACACUACAUGGAGUAGCUAUGUACUAUUCUGGUAUCGACAGCAUCCAGGCACACAGCCCGAAUACAUACUGAGGAAAAGUACUAAUGGCAAUGUGUAUAAAGCAGAUUUUGCUACAGAACGUUUUUCUAUAGAUCUUCAGACCUCGAAGAAAUUCACCAGUUUGACAAUAGCCGGGCUGGAGCUGACUGACACUGCCGUGUAUUACUGUGCUUUUUGUCCAUCAUCUGGCGGAUCUGAGUCCUGCCUGUCCAAUCUUCUUUGGAUUUAUCACCUCCGAACACAAUGCCUGUUUAUUUGUGUUUGUCAGGGAGUCUGUCUGAUUCACUCACUCACCAGCCGAAGGUGA